rnacentral:rRNA from 1 species
CCUACGGGAGGCUGCAGUGGGGAAUAUUGCACAAUGGGCGCAAGCCUGAUGCAGCCAUGCCGCGUGUGUGAAGAAGGCCUUCGGGUUGUAAAGCACUUUCAGCGGGGAGGAAGGCGGUGAGGUUAAUAACCUCAUCGAUUGACGUUACCCGCAGAAGAAGCACCGGCUAACUCCGUGCCAGCAGCCGCGGUAAUACGGAGGGUGCAAGCGUUAAUCGGAAUUACUGGGCGUAAAGCGCACGCAGGCGGUCUGUCAAGUCGGAUGUGAAAUCCCCGGGCUCAACCUGGGAACUGCAUUCGAAACUGGCAGGCUAGAGUCUUGUAGAGGGGGGUAGAAUUCCAGGUGUAGCGGUGAAAUGCGUAGAGGUCUGGAGGAAUACCGGUGGCGAAGGCGGCCCCCUGGACAAAGACUGACGCUCAGGUGCGAAAGCGUGGGGAGCAAACAGGAUUAGAUACCCUAGUAGUC